rnacentral:tRNA from 1 species
GCUUCUUUAGUAUUGAUCAGUACAAUUGGCUUCCAAUCAAUUAGCUCUGGUGUAAUCCAGAAAGAAGCA